GAUGAACGCUAGCUACAGGCUUAACACAUGCCAGUCGAGGGGAAACGGCAUUAAGUGCUUGCACUUUUUGGACGUCGACCGGCGCACGGGUGAGUAACGCGUAUCCAACCUUCCCAUGACUAAGGGAUAACCUGCCGAAAGGCAGACUAAUACCUUAUGGUCUUCACUGACGGCAUCAGAUGUGAAGUAAAGAUUUAUCGGUUAUGGAUGGGGAUGCGUCUGAUUAGCUUGUUGGCGGGGUAACGGCCCACCAAGGCAACGAUCAGUAGGGGUUCUGAGAGGAAGGUCCCCCACAUUGGAACUGAGACACGGUCCAAACUCCUACGGGAGGCAGCAGUGAGGAAUAUUGGUCAAUGGGCGAGAGCCUGAACCAGCCAAGUAGCGUGCAGGAUGACGGCCCUAUGGGUUGUAAACUGCUUUUGUAUGGGGAUAAAGUCAAUCACGUGUGAUUGUUUGCAGGUACCAUACGAAUAAGGACCGGCUAAUUCCGUG
rnacentral:rRNA from 1 species